rnacentral:rRNA from 1 species
UGGGGAAUUUUGGACAAUGGGGGCAACCCUGAUCCAGCCAUGCCGCGUGCAGGAGUGAAGGUCUUCGGAUUGUAAACUGCUUUUGUCAGGGACGAAAAGGACUGUGUUAAUACCAUAGUCUGCUGACGGUACCUGAAGAAUAAGCACCGGCUAACUACGUGCCAGCAGCCGCGGUAAUACGGAGGGUGCAAGCGUUAAUCGGAAUAACUGGGCGUAAAGGGCAUGCAGGCGGUUCAUCAAGUAGGAUGUGAAAUCCCCGGGCUCAACCUGGGAACAGCAUACUAAACUGGUGGACUAGAGUAUUGCAGGGGGAGACGGAAUUCCAGGUGUAGCGGUGGAAUGCGUAGAUAUCUGGAAGAACACCAAAGGCGAAGGCAGUCUCCUGGGCAAAUACUGACGCUCAUAUGCGAAAGCGUGGGUAGCAAACAGGAUUAGAUACCCUGGUAGU